UAGGGAAUCUUCGGCAAUGGGGGGAACCCUGACCGAGCAACGCCGCGUGAGUGAAGAAGGUUUUCGGAUCGUAAAGCCCUGUUGUUAAGGAAGAACGAGUGUGAGAAUGGAAAGUUCAUACUGUGACGGUACUUAACCAGAAAGGGACGGCUAACUACGUGCCAGCAGCCGCGGUAAUACGUAGGUCCCGAGCGUUGUCCGGAUUUAUUGGGCGUAAAGCGAGCGCAGGCGGUUAGAUAAGUCUGAAGUUAAAGGCAGUGGCUCAACCAUUGUAGGCUUUGGAAACUGUUUAACUUGAGUGCAGAAGGGGAGAGUGGAAUUCCAUGUGUAGCGGUGAAAUGCGUAGAUAUAUGGAGGAACGCCGGUGGCGAAAGCGGCUCUCUGGUCUGUAACUGGCGCGGAGGCUCGAAAGCGUGGGGAGCGAACAGG
rnacentral:rRNA from 1 species